UCGAUAAACGAACCGAGCUUGUUUAUCAGAAUUUCGAGAACGAGCUUGCGUUUUCUAUAUUUAUAUAGAAUUACGAGUGUAAUGAAAGUGAGUAGGAGUUAAGAGGACGAGUAACGAAGAAUAUGGGUAGUUAGUCGUUAAAACGAGACGAAACGAGAUAUUUAACGACUAAGUGGGAUAAUAUACUAUCUAACCUACCCUACCCUAACCACUCCACCAACCACCCAACCCCACUCACUCACACAUAUUAUACGGCUGUAUCAGCCAAACACUCCACUCACACUUUAAUCUCACACAUACAACACCUAAAACACACACUAGUUCACGCCAUUUUCAUUUUAGUUUGAGCUCAAGCUUUUGACCUCCGAUUUGAGCACCGAGACGAGCGCCGAUCAUUUUUUCGAUCACGUAUCUAAGUAGGUUGAGCUGAUGUGAUGAUGGUGCUGCAAUGAGCGGAGUCUCCAGGGUUGUUAAUAAAUAGUUAACCUGUCUAGAAUAUGUCUUCAUACAUAUGUCUAGCUACUUUCCGCUGCAAGAUGUUGUUGAUGUUAUAGUAUGUUAUGUCAUACUUUGAGUCUUAAGAGAAUGGUUUCAUACGAUGUAUAACUUGAUUAAUGAUAUUAAUUAAGUUUUAUGCUGUCUUUCAUAGACUGUUUUCAAUUGAGUAUUAAUGAAUAAAAAUGACGAGUUUUAUUAAGAUGAGUAAGUUUUACGGCUAUAAAUGACGCCCCUUUUCUUCCCCUUCUUCUUUAACCCCAUCCCUAGUCGUGGAUCACUCGGCCUAACUAUCCAUAGUUAGGGCGGGCUGUGACAGAGUGGUAUCAGAGCGAAGGAAAGCUCUGAAUUAGAAGUCUUGAGUUUAGUCUAGAAUGAGUCACUAGACUAAUAGUUAUUAACAACCGUGAGCUCAGCGCACCAUCACACCAGGCUCAACGAGGUAUGUAAAAUUUCAAAGUUUAUUUGACGUUAAAUUUUGAAGAGCACGAUGUUGAGGUUAUAUGAUGAGUUAUGAUGUUAUGCUUUGAAGAUGCAUAGUUUGAGUUUGAGGAUGACAACAUGAUUAAUAAUGAGUUAUUAUGUUGUAAGAGCAUAUGUUGACGUUACAUGAUGAAUCAUGAGAGCGUUUAUAUCA